UUUUGGUUUUAUUUUCUCACUUGAUUUCAAAGAUUGGGGGGCAUUGUGACUCAACCACCUCCUUCUCACACAAAAUACAAAAACUAAAAAGAUUUCUCACACUAAAUACAACAGGUAUGGACUCUAAAUAGAGUGGUUGAUAUUUUUGGUUUUAUUUUCUCACUUGAUUUCAAAGAUUGGGGGGCUAUGUGACUCAACCACCUCCUUCUCACACAAAAUACAAAAACUAAAAAGAACAAACUGCAUUCAAUAUGAAAAUUGGAUGAGUUUGUGAUUAAAAUCACACCUGUAACAGUUGCGUUAUUAUUCUUUAAAAUGAAAGAUUUGGAAUACAAUAAGAUAGUGGCAUCGAAAAUAUUUUCUACGGUUUUAGUAUUUUUCGCCCACCAUCAAUGCCACAACACUCGAUGACAUCAGGACAACAGCUGGGAGGGGGUACAAAAGCUGUGGUGAAUGUCAUGAUGGCCAUGACUACCAUGAUCACUAACACCAACUGCGCUACAGAUUUUAUUUUUCCUUCCUUCUCUAUAAUAAGAUCCUUUAUAACAAAGUAAAGAUGUAUUUCUCUUUUGUUUUGAUGGUGAGUUGAAUAUCGUGUUGUUUAUCAUGUAUAUUUAUAGGGAUAAUAUUGAAUGAUAAAUAAUCCAAAUCUAUUAAGAAAUUAAUACAGAAGAUAUUUUCUAAAAAUUAUUCUAGAAAAGGGAGAUAUUAGUUCGUAUCAUUCAUAUUAUUUAUAGUCCCACAAGGAAACAUAUAUUCUCAGGAUUUUUGAUGAUGACAAAAAAGUAUCACUUGAAAUUCUUGGAAAUGUCGUUUUUGAACAAAAAAUAGAUUGGUGGCACAAUUGUCUUUUUAAAAAAAAAUUAAAAAUCAAAUUUUAAAUAUAUUUUUUUCUUACUCAAAAUUUAUUUAGCAACUGUCUCAUUUUUUUUAUACUUCAACUUUUUACCGAUACGACUACAAGCAAAAUUGAAAAAGACAACUGAUUUUGCCAGUUGUUUGAGCCAUAGUUUUUCGUUGUCAGCCGCCGUCUCUUAUGUAUAUCAGACAAUGAUACAAAUACUAUUGUGUAAUUACCUUCCCAUUACAGUCGAAAUUACUUGAGAAUUCACUUCAACAUCCUCUUAUACUCCUAUACGCAUAUGAAAACGGAAUUAUACAUCCAUCUUUAUUCACUUUGUAAUCAACAUACAUGACUUCAUCUUGGGAAAUAUGAUUUUUAAAAUCAUAAUAGAUAUUAUCUUGAACCUUGAAGUUUUUUAUUUGAGAAGCAAGAGAAAUUAUUUCCUCAUAUUGAAAAAUCCUAGUUAUAUAAAUACUUUAUUUUACAAGGUUUUACACAACAACUGAUGCUACCUCGUGAUCAAAAAUAGAAGGAGAAAAUAAACGGAUUUGUAUAACCACAAAAAGAGCUUAUUUUAUAAUAAUUGGAACUGGCAUAUAACCAACUAGGCAUAGCAAAACGUGAACAUUGAACAAGUAAUGUAUCAUAUGCAACAUCUAAUAAUUAAUAUUAGUCAUAUGCGUCAUAUAUAGAGUCGCAAAUAGAGUUUGUGAUAUCGGGCAAAAAGGAACCUUAAAAUAUAUAAUAAACAAAAAAUUGUCGAAGAAAAGGAGGCCCAUUUAUUAAUUAAUAUGUAUUUAUUUAAUGAAAUUAUAAUUAAAAUGGCGUGUCGCGCUUCGAGUAACGACCUUUGNUAUAAUAAUUGGAACUGGCAUAUAACCAACUAGGCAUANCAGCUUAUUUUAUAAUAAUUGGAACUGGCAUAUAACCAACUAGGCAUAGCAAAACGUGAACAUUGAACAAGUAAUGUAUCAUAUGCAACAUCUAAUAAUUAAUAUUAGUCAUAUGCGUCAUAUAUAGAGUCGCAAAUAGAGUUUGUGAUAUCGGGCAAAAAGGAACCUUAAAAUAUAUAAUAAACAAAAAAUUGUCGAAGAAAAGGAGGCCCAUUUAUUAAUUAAUAUGUAUUUAUUUAAUGAAAUUAUAAUUAAAAUGGCGUGUCGCGCUUCGAGUAACGACCUUUGAAUAUCAUCGCUCUGGUCCUAAAUUCGUGGACAACCCACUCAAAACUAUUCAAAAGCACAUUGAAAGUCAGAGAAGGAUCCAAAUCUAUCACACAAAUCACUACAAGGGUGAACAUAUUAUUAUCAAAGCAUAAACCUNUAAAAUAUAUAAUAAACAAAAAAUUGUCGAAGAAAAGGAGGUCCAUUUAUUAAUUAAUAUGUAUUUAUUUAAUGAAAUUAUAAUUAAAAUGGCGUGUCGCGCUUCGAGUAACGACCUUUGAAUAUCAUCCCUCUGGUCCUAAAUUCGUGGACAACCCACUCAAAACUAUUCAAAAGCACAUUGAAAGUCAGAGAAGGAUCCAAAUCUAUCACACAAAUCACUACAAGGGUGAACAUAUUAUUAUCAAAGCAUAAACCUACUCUAUCUGUAAACACGAAAACAUCUAUAUGAACGACCACAUCUCAUAAUACAUGACUAUGUUUUUAGGCUUAGUUCAUUACAUCUCUAAGGAUAUGUAAGCAUCACAUAAGGAUCAUUUCAAUUCCCAAAACACCAAUGCACCCCUAGAAGCUUUGAAACUCAUAAUUCGUGACCCAAUAAAAGUUAAUCUAAUAUCUUUAUGUAACACUUGAUAGCAUGUAUGAAAGGAGAUGAUGAAUAUAAAUUCUGACGACCAUUUGAGCAGCCUCGACACCGUCCACCAAUGUAGGGCCGAUCUUCCACUCAUCAUUCAAGGACCUAGUUCCGAAGCCACUGAAAGUAGUGGUAUUUCCAACACUCUAAAUCUUACCACACCCACAAGGAUUGGUCAGGGCUCAAAUAUCCAUACUUAAACCUAACGACGUGUAACACCGGAGUUACAUAAUGGUACAACAUCAACACAUCUCCAAUUACAAACACCCUCAUUCGGCUUCAAUACUCGACGACCGGCAUACCUCAUUCGCAUCGAACAUACAAAAUAAAACUUGACAUUGUGCUUGAGCUUUCAAACAACCCUGGAUUCCUCUAAAACACUUGUAUAGAAACCAAACAUACAAAAUGUAACAUUAAAAAACUAUGGCUUGCAAGUAUUUCAUACAAGUAUUUAUUUUACUAAAAUAUUGGGUUAAGUCCUUCCAACAAUAGGUUUUUCUUUUACAAGUUGUUGUGUCUUGUUUUUUCUAACAAGUGUUGUGGAAAUGUUAUGGAACUCUCAUUUCAACAACAACUGAAUAACUAUUGUCUAACACUUAAUCACAUAUGGCCUCGAUAUUUAAUAAAAUAUUUUCAUAACAGACAAGGGGGAUAUCAGCCAAUUCUUCUUGUAGUGAGCUAAGACAACACUCUCGAAUGGGAGGGCAACAACUUGGCGUUAUAGCUCCCAUGAAAAUCAUAAAAGCCAAAUGGAUUACCGUCAUCGGCGUAAUUACAUACAUUACUAUACUAUCCAUUGCAGAGCUAUUUCAUUAGAAAUCACAAGUUCAAGAGAACUAUUUCAUAUCACUCUAGUUAUGAGUAAAGAUUUUUUGAUGGUAACUUUAAUAUCCAACUGCUUUAUUUUCACCGUAUAUUAGUUGUCUCCAAGUUGAUGGAUGGCAUCAUUCACAAGCUAAAAAAGAUUUGUCCAUGAUAUUUAAUAUCCUCAAAAAAUCCGAAGGAUGAAUUUUUUUUUGUUACAGAACAACUCAAAUUUUGUGGUUGUCAUAACUCGAAUAUAUUGAACUGUUAGUACAAGAAGAUAUGCUCACAAACUAAUAAAGAAAACGAGGUGAAUGAUGUUUCAUAUCCAUGAGUUGUAGAGAGUCUUAUACAUCCUUUGAUUUGUACAUGGCCAAAUAUUUCUAUGGCUAUUGAGAUAGUGAGUAGAUAUGUGUCAAAAAACAACAUAGAAGAUCUUAGUUCAUAAAAGUUCUUUUUUGUGAUGUUAAUAGAUUAAUUUAAAAGAAAUUUAUAUUAAAUUGUUUGACUUUACAUGUGAGGAUGACAAUUUGAAUCCAAAUAAGGGCGUCAUAAAUUUAUUAAUUUGUUAUAAGCAUAUUAGAAACAAUACUCAAAUCGUUGAUUGCAAGACUAUGUUUAAUUAUUUCUAAAUAACAAAGCAUUAAUUGCUUACUCAUAAUGUAUUUGCAGUGCAAGCAAAGUAAUUUGUUAGAAGUAAUCACUUUCAAUGGUGAGAAUCAAGCUUUCUUAAACCUUCCAACUCAUCAAAAUAGGCAAAGUCAUAGUAAUUUGAUUUUAAAGCUUGAGAAUUGAACUUCCUUAAUUUAUUAAAGUAAGCACAAGCAUCUCCACAUCAAAAUCUCUAAAGUCAGUGAGAUAAAACUGAAGUCCUUUGCAUUCCAUGAAUGGUAUAUAUAUAUGAAUUAUAUUUUUAUAAAGGUAUGGACUCUAAAUAGCGUGGUUGAUAUUUUUGGUUUUAUUUUCUCACUUGAUUUCAAAGAUUGGGGGGCUAUGUGACUCAACCACCUCCUUCUCACACAAAAUACAAAAACUAAAAAGAACAAACUGCAUUCAAUAUGAAAAUUGGAUAAGUUUGUGAUUAAAAUCACACCUGUAACAGUUGCGUUAUUAUUCUUUAAAAUGAAAGAUUUGGAAUACAAUAAGAUAGUGGCAUCGAAAAUAUUUUCUACGGUUUUAGUAUUUUUCGCCCACCAUCAAUGCCACAACACUCGAUGACAUCAGGACAACAGCUGGGAGGGGGUACAAAAGCUGUGGUGAAUGUCAUGAUGGCCAUGACUACCAUGAUCACUAACACCAACUGCGCUACAGAUUUCAUUUUUCCUUCCUUCUCUAUAAUAAGAUCCUUUAUAACAAAGUAAUGAUGUAUUUCUUUUUUCUUUUGAUGGUGAGUUGAAUAUCCGUGUUGUUUAUCAUGUAUAUUUAUAGGGAUAGUAUUGAAUGAUAAAUAAUCCAAAUCUAUUAAGAAAUUAAUACAGAAGAUAUUUUCUAAAAAUUAUUCUAGAAAAGGGAGAUAUUAGUUCGUAUCAUUCAUAUUAUUUAUAGUCCCACAAGGAAACAUAUAUUCUCAGGAUUUUUGAUGAUGACAAAAAAGUAUCACUUGAAAUUCUUGGAAAUGUCGUUUUUGAACAAAAAAUAGAUUGGUGGCACAAUUGUCUUUUUAAAAAAAAAUUAAAAAUCAAAUUUUAAAUAUAUUUUUUUCUUACUCAAAAUUUAUUUAGCAACUGUCUCAUUUUUUUUAUACUUCAACUUUUUACCGAUACGACUACAAGCAAAAUUGAAAAAGACAACUGAUUUUGCCAGUUGUUUGAGCCAUAGUUUUUCGUUGUCAGCCGCCGUCUCUUAUGUAUAUCAGACAAUGAUACAAAUACUAUUGUGUAAUUACCUUCCCAUUACAGUCGAAAUUACUUGAGAAUUCACUUCAACAUCCUCUUAUACUCCUAUACGCAUAUGAAAACGGAAUUAUACAUCCAUCUUUAUUCACUUUGUAAUCAACAUACAUGACUUCAUCUUGGGAAAUAUGUUUUUUAAAAUCAUGAGAGAUAUUAUCUUGGACCUUGAAGUUUUUUAUUUGAGAAGCAAGAGAAAUUAUUUCCUCGUAUUGAAAAAUCCUAGUUAUAUACAUCAUAGAUAAAUCUUCUUUAAAUGUUCCUCCUCAAGGCUCGUAUUGUCUAAAGCUAAAUACUUAAUUUUUACAAGGUUUUACACAACAACUGAUGCUACCUCGUGAUCAAAAAUCGAAGGAGAAAAUAAACGGAUUUGUAUAACCACAAAAAGAGCUUAUUUAAUAAUAAUUGGAACUGGCAUAUAACCAACUAGGCAUAGCAAAACAUGAACAUUGAACAAGUAAUGUAUCAUAUGCAACAUCUAAUACUUAAUAUUAGUCAUAUUCGUCAUAUAUAGAGGGAGUAUACGUUUGUUCAAUAUGGGACUCGCAAAUAGAGUUUGUGAUAUCGGGCAAAAAGGAACCUCAAAAUAUAUAAUAAACGAAAAAUUGUCGAAGAAAAGGAGGCCCAUUUAUUAAUCCACAAUUUCUUAUUUAUUAAUUAAUAUGUAAUUAUUUAAUUAAAUUAUAAUUAAAAUGGAGUGUCGGGCUUCGAGUAAAGACCUUUGAAUAUCAUCCCUCUGGGCCUAAAUUCGUGGACAACCCACUCAAAACUAUUCAGAAGCACAUUGAAAGUCAGAGAAGGAUCCAAAUCUAUCACACAAAUCACUACAAGGGUGAACAUAUUAUUAUCAAAGCAUAAACCUACUCUAUCUGUAAACAUGAAAACAUCUAUAUGAACGACCACAUCUCAUAAUACAUGACUAUGUUUUUAGGCUUAGUUCAUUACAUCUCUAAGGAUAUUUAAGCAACACAUAAGGAUCGUUUCAAUUCCCAAAACACCAAUGCACCCCUAGAAGGUUUGAAACUCGUAAUUCAUGACCCAAUAAAAGUUAAUCUAAUAUCUUUAUGUAACACUUGAUAGCAUGUAUGAAAGGAGAUGAUGAAUAUAAAUUCUGACGACCAUUUGAGCAGCCUCGACACCGUCCACCAAUGUAGGGCCGAUCUUCUACUCAUCAUUCAAGGACCUAGUUCCGAAGCCACUGAAAGUAGUGGUAUUUCCAACACUCGAAAUCUCACCACACCCACAAGCAUUGAUCAGGGCUCAAAUAUCCAUACUUAAACCUAACGACGUGUAACACCGGAGUUACAUAAUGGUACAACAUCAACACAUCUCCAAUUACAAACACCCUCAUUCGGCUUCAAUACUCGACGACCGGCAUACCUCAUUCGCAUCGAACAUACAAAAUAAAACUUGACAUUGUGCUUGAGCUUUCAAACAACCCUGCAUUCCUCAAAAACACUUGUAUAGAAACCAAACAUACAAAAUGUAACAUUAAAAAACUAUGGCUUGCAAGUAUUUCAUACAAGUAUUUAUUUUACUAAACUAUUGGGUUAAGUCCUUCCAAUAAUAGGUUUUAUUUUACAAGUUGUUGUGGCAUGUUUUUUAUAACAAGUGUUGUGGAAAUGUUAUGGAACUCUCAUUUCAACAACAAUUGAAUAACUAUUGUCUAACACUCAAUCACAUAUCGCCUCGAUAUUUAAUAAAAUAUUUUCAUAACAGACAAGGGGGAUAUCAACCAAUUCUUCUUGCAGUGAGNAAACAACUUGGCGUUAUAGCUCCAAUGAAAAUCAUAAAAGCCAAAUGAAUUACCGUCAUCGGCGUAAUUACAUACGUUACUAUACUAUCCAUUGCAGAGUUAUUUCAUUAGAAAUCCCAAGUUCAAUAGAACUAUUUCAUAUAACUCUAGUUAUGGGUAAAGAUUUUUUGAUGGUAACUUUAAUAUCCAAGUGCUUUAUUUUCACCGUAUAUUAGUUGUCUCCAAGUUGAUGGAUGACAUCAUUCACAAGCUAAAAAAGAUUUGUCCAUGAUAUUUAAUAUCCUGAAAAAAUCCGAAGAAUGAAUUUUUUUUUUUGUUACAGAACAACUCAAAUUUUGUGGUUGUCAUAACUUGAAUAUAUUGAACUGUUAGUACAAGAAGAUAUGCUCACAAACUAAUAAAGAAAACGAGGUGAAUGAUGUUUCAUAUCCAUGAGUUGUAGAGAGUCUUAUACAUCCUUUGAUUUGUACAUGGCCAAAUAUUUCUAUGGCUAUUGAGAUAGUGAGUAGAUAUGUGUCAAAAAACAACAUAGAAGAUCUUAGUUCAUAAAAGUUCUUUUUUGUGAUGUGAAUAGAUUAAUUUAAAAGAAAUUUAUAUUAAAUUGUUUGACUUUACAUGUGAGGAUGACAAUUUGAAUCCAAAUAAGGGCGUCAUAAAUUUAUUAAUUUGUUAUAAGCAUAUUAGAAACAAUACUCAAAUCGUUGAUUGCAAGACUAUGUUUAAUUAUUUCUAAAUAACAAAGCAUUAAUUGCUUACUCAUAAUGUAUUUGCAGUGCAAGCAAAGUAAUUUGUUAGAAGUAAUCACUUUCAAUGGUGAGAAUCAAGCUUUCUUAAACCUUCCAACUCAUCAAAAUAGGCAAAGUCAUAGUAAUUUGAUUUUAAAGCUUGAGAAUUGAACUUCCUUAAUUUAUUAAAGUAAGCACAAGCAUCUCCACAUGAAAAUCUCUAAAGUCAGUGAGAUAAAACUGAAGUCCUUUGCAUUCCAUGAAUGGUAUAUAUAUAUGAAUUAUAUUUUUAUAAAGGUAUGGACUCUAAAUAGCGUGGUUGAUAUUUUUGGUUUUAUUUUCUCAAUUGAUUUCAAAGAUUGGGGGGCUAUGUGACUCAACCACCUCCUUCUCACACAAAAUACAAAAACUAAAAAGAACAAACUGCAUUCAAUAUGAAAAUUGGAUAAGUUUGUGAUUAAAAUCACACCUGUAACAGUUGCGUUAUUAUUCUUUAUAAUGAAAAAAAUGGAAUACAAUAAGAUAGGGGCAUUGAAAAGAUUUUCUACGGUUUUAGUAUUUUUCGCCCACCAUCAAUGCCACAACACUCGAUGACAUCAGGACAACAGCUGGGAGGGGGUACAAAAGCUGUGGUGAAUGUCAUGAUGGCCAUGACUACCAUGAUCACUAACACCAACUGCGCUACAUAUUUCAUUUUUCCUUCCUUCUCUAUAAUAAGAUCUUUUAUAACAAAGUAAUGAUGUAUUUCUCUUUUGUUUUGAUGGUGAGUUGAAUAUGGUGUUGUUUAUCAUGUAUAUUUAUAGGGAUAGUAUUGAAUGAUAUAUAAUCCAAAUCUAUUAAGAAAUUUAUACAUAAGAUCUUUUCUAAAAAUUGUUCUAGAAAAGGGAGAUAUUGAUUCGUAUCAUUUAUAUUAUUUAUAGUCCCAGAAGGAAACAUAUAUUCUCAGUAUUUUUGCUGAUAACAAAAAAGUAUCACUUGAAAUUCUUGGAAAUGUCGUUUUUGAGCAAAAAAUAGAUUGGUGGCUCAAUUGUCUUUUAAAAAAAAAAAAUUAAAAAUCAAUUUUUAAAUAUAUUUUUUUCUUACUCAAUUUAUUUAGCAACUGUCACAUUUUUUUUAUACUUCAACUUUUUACCGAUAAGACUACAAGCAAAAUUGAAUAAAACAUCUGAUUUUGCCAGUUGUUUGAGCCAUAGUUUUUCGUUGUCAGCCGCCGUCUCUUAUGUAUAUCAGACAAUGAUACAAAUACUAUUGUGUAAUUUACCUUCCCAUUACAGUCGAAAUUACUUGAGAAUUCACUUCAACAUCCUCUUAUACUCCUAUACGCAUAUGAAAACAGAAUUAUACAUUCAUCUUUAUUCACUUUGUAAUCAACAUACAUGACUUCAUCUUGGGAAAUAUGAUUUUUAAAAUCAUGAGAGAUAUUAUCUUGAACCUUGAAGUUUUUUAUUUGAGAAGCAAUAGAAAUUAUUUCCUCAUAUUGAAAAAUCCUACUUAUAUACAUCAUAGAUAAAUCUUCUUUAAAUGUUCCUCCUCAAGGCUCGUAUUGUCUAAAGCUAAAUACUUAAUUUUUACAAGGUUUUACACAACAACUGAUGCUACCUCGUGAUCAAAAAUAGAAGGAGAAAAUAAACGGAUUUGUAUAACCACAAAAAGAGCUUAUUUAAUAAUAAUUGGAACUGGCAUAUAACCAACUAGGCAUAGCAAAACAUGAACAUUGAACAAGUAAUGUAUCAUAUGCAACAUCUAAUACUUAAUAUUAGUCAUAUUCGUCAUAUAUAGAGGGAGUAUACAUUUGUUCAAUAUGGGACUCGCAAAUAGAGUUUGUGAUAUCGGGCAAAAAGGAACCUCAAAAUAUAUAAUAAACGAAAAAUUGUCGAAGAAAAGGAGGCCCAUUUAUUAAUCCACAAUUUCUUAUUUAUUAAUUAAUAUGUAAUUAUUUAAUUAAAUUAUAAUUAAAAUGGAGUGUCGGGCUUCGAGUAAAGACCUUUGAAUAUCAUCCCUCUGGGCCUAAAUUCGUGGACAACCCACUCAAAACUAUUCAGAAGCACAUUGAAAGUCAGAGAAGGAUCCAAAUCUAUCACACAAAUCACUACAAGGGUGAACAUAUUAUUAUCAAAGCAUAAACCUACUCUAUCUGUAAACAUGAAAACAUCUAUAUGAACGACCACAUCUCAUAAUACAUGACUAUGUUUUUAGGAUUAGUUCAUUACAUCUCUAAGGAUAUGUAAGCAUCACAUAAGGAUCGUUUCAAUUCCCAAAACACCAAUGCACCCCUAGAAGCUUUGAAACUCGUAAUUCGUGACCAAAUAAAAGUUAAUCUAAUAUCUUUAUGUAACACUUGAUAGCAUGUAUGAAAGGAGAUGAUGAAUAUAAAUUCUGACGACCAUUUGAGCAGCCUCGACACCGUCCACCAAUGUAGGGCCAAUCUUCCACUCAUCAUUCAAGUACCUAGUUCCGAAGCCACUGAAAGUAGUGGUAUUUCCUACACUCUAAAUCUUACCACACCCACAAGGAUUGGUCAGGGCUCAAAUAUCCAAACUUAAACCUAAUGACGUGUAACACCGCAGUUACAUAAUGGUACAACAUCAACACAUCUCAAAUUACAAACACCCUCAUUCGGCUUCAAUACUCAACGACCGGCAUACAUCAUUCGCAUCGAACAUACAAAAUAAAAUUUGACAUUGUGCUUGAGCUUUCAAACAGCCCUGGAUUCCUCUAAAACACUUGUAUAGAAACCAAACAUACAAAAUGUAACAUUAAAAAACUAUGGCUUGCAAGUAUUUCAUGCAAGUAUUUAUUUUACUAAAUUAUUGGGUGAAGUCCUUCAAACAAUAGGUUUUCUUUUAAAAGUUGUUGUGUCAUGUUUUUUCUAACAAGUGUUGUGGAAAUGUUAUGGAACUCUCAUUUCAACAACAAUUGAAUAACUAUUGUCUAACACUUAAUCACAUAUGGCCUCGAUAUUUAAUAAAAUAUUUUCAUAACAGACAAGGGGGAUAUCAGCCAAUUCUUCUUGUAGUGAGCUAAGACAACACUCUCGAAUGGGAGGGCAACAACUUGGCGUUAUAGCUCCCAUGAAAAUCAUAAAAGCCAAAUGGAUUACCGUCAUCGGCGUAAUUACAUACAUUACUAUACUAUCCAUUGCAGAGCUAUUUCAUUAGAAAUCACAAGCUCAAGAGAACUAUUUCAUAUCACUUAGUUAUGAGUAAAGAUUUUUUGAUGGUAACUUUAGUAUCCAAGUCCUUUAUUUUCACCCUAUAUUAGUUGUCUCCAAGUUGAUGGAUGGCAUCAUUCACAAGCUAAAAAAGAUUUGUCCAUGAUAUUUAAUAUCCUUAAAAAAUCCGAAGGAUGAAUUUUUUUUUUGUUACAGAACAACUCAAAUUUUGUGGUUGUCAUAACUUGAAUAUAUUGAACUGUUAGUACAAGAAGAUAUGCUCAUAAACUAAUAAAGAAAAUGAGGUGAAUGAUGUUUCAUAUCCAUGAGUUGUAGAGAGUCUUAUACAUCCUUUGAUUUGUACAUUGCCAAAUAUUUCUAUGGCUAUUGAGAUAGUGAGUAGAUAUGUGUCAAAAAACGACAUAGAAGAUCUUAGUUCAUAAAAGUUCUUUUUUGUGAUGUUAAUAGAUUAAUUUAAAAGAAAUCUAUAUUAAAUUGUUUGACUUUACAUGUGAGGAUGACAAUUUGAAUCCAAAUAAGGGCAUCAUAAAUUUAUUAAUUUGUUAUAAGCAUAUUAGAAACAAUACUCAAAUCGUUGAUUGCAAGACUAUGUUUAAUUAUUUCUAAAUAACAAAGCAUUAAUUGCUUACUCAUAAUGUAUUUGCAGUGCAAGCAAAGUAAUUUGUUAGAAGUAAUCACUUUCAAUGGUGAGAAUCAAGCUUUCUUAAACCUUCCAACUCAUCAAAAUAGGCAAAGUCAUAGUAAUUUGAUUUUAAAGCUUGAGAAUUGAACUUCCUUAAUUUAUUAAAGUAAACACAAGCAUCUCUACAUCAAAAUCUCUAAAGUCGGUGAGAUAAAACUCAAGUCCUUUGCAUUCCAUGAAUGGUAUAUUUAUGAAUUAUAUUUUUAUAAGGGUAUGGACUCUCAAUAGCGUGGUUGAUAUUUUUGGUUUUAUUUUCUCACCUGAUUUCAAAGAUUGGGGGGCUAUGUGACUCAACCACCUCCGUCUCACACAAAAUAAAAAAACUAAAAAGAACAAAUUGCAUUCAAUAUGAAAAUUGGAUAAGUUUGUGAUUAAAAUCACACCUGUAACUGUUGCGUUAUUAUUCUUUAAAAUGAAAGAUUUGGAAUACAAUAAGAUAGUGGCAUCGAAAAUAUUUUCUACGGUUUUAGUAUUUUUCGCCCACCAUCAAUGCCACAACACUCGAUGACAUCAGGACAACAGCUGGGAGGGGGUACGAAACUCGUAAUUCAUGACCCAAUAAAAGUUAAUCUAAUAUCUUUAUGUAACACUUGAUAGCAUGUAUGAAAGGAGAUGAUGAAUAUAAAUUCUGACGACCAUUUGAGCAGCCUCGACACCGUCCACCAAUGUAGGGCCGAUCUUCCACUCAUCAUUCAAGGACCUAGUUCCGAAGCCAAUGAAAGUAGUGGUAUUUCCAACACUCGAAAUCUCACCACACCCACAAGCAUUGAUCAGGGCUCAAAUAUCCAUACUUAGAAUCUUUAUCAAAUUUCAGUUGUAAUUGUUACAUAUCUUGUCUUUGGGAAUUAUCAACGGAUGGGUAGAAUAGGAUGGCUAGUGAUGACAAAAAAGUAUCACUUGAAAUUCUUGGAAAUGUCGUUUUUGAACAAAAAAUAGAUUGGUGGCUCAAUGGUCUUUUUUAAAUAAAAAUUAAAAAUCAAAUUUUAAAUAUAUUUUUUUCUUACUCAGAAAUUUAUUUAGCAACUGUCUCAUUUUUUUUAUACUUCAACUUUUUACCGAUACGACUACAAGCAAAAUUGAAUAAGACAACUGAUUUUGCCAGUUGUUUGAGCCAUAGUUUUUCGUUGUCAGCCCCGUCUCUUAUGUAUAUCAGACAAUGAUACAAAUACUAUUGUGUAAUUUACCUUCCCAUUACAGUCCAAAUUACUUGAGAAUUCACUUCAACAUCCUCUUAUACUCCUAUACGCAUAUCAAAACAGAAUUAUACAUUCAUCUUUAUUCACUUUGUAAUCAACAUCCAUGACUUCAUCUUGGGAAAUAUGAUUUUUAAAAUCAUGAGAGAUAUUAUAUUGAAACUUGAAGUUUUUUAUUUGAGAAGCAAGAGAAAUUAUUUCCUCAUCUUGAAAAAUCCUAGUUAUAUACAUCAUAGAUAAAUCUUCUUUAAAUGUUCCUCCUCAAGGCUGGUAUUGUCUAAAGCUAAAUACUUAAUUUUUCAAGGUUUUACACAACAACUGAUGCUACCUCAUGAUCAAAACUAGAAGGAGAAAAUAAACGGAUUUGUAUAACCACAGAAAGAGCUUAUUUAAUAAUAAUUGGAACUGGCAUAUAACCAACUAGGCAUAGAAAAACGUUAACAUUGAACAAGUAAUGUAUCAUAUGCAACAUCUAAUACUUAAUAUUAGUCAUAUUCGUGAUAUAUAGAGUGAGUAUACGUUUGUUCAAUAUGGGACUCGCAAAUAGAGUUUGUGAUAUCGGGUAAAAAGGAACCUCAAAAUAUAUAAUAAACGAAAAAUUGUUGAAGAAAAGGAGGCCCAUUNUGAGUUNAAUAUAUAAUAAACGAAAAAUUGUUGAAGAAAAGGAGGCCCAUUUAUUAAUCCACAAUUUCUUAUUUAUUAAUUAAUAUGUAAUUAUUUAAUUAAAUUAUAAUUAAAAUGGCUUGUCGUGCUUCGAGUAACGACCUUUGAAUAUCAUCCCUCUGGGCCUAAAUUCGUGGACAACCCACUCAAAACUAUUCAAAAGCACAUUGAAAGUCAAAGAAGGAUCCAAAUCUAUCACACAAAUCACUACAAGGGUGAACAUAUUAUUAUGAAAGCAUAAACCUACUCUAUCUGUAAACAUGAAAACAUCUAUAUGAACGACCACAUCUCAUAAUACAUGACUAUGUUUUUAGGCUUAGUUCAUUACAUCUCUAAGGAUAUUUAAGCAACACAUAAGGAUCGUUUCAAUUCCCAAAACACCAAUGCACCCCUAGAAGGUUUGAAACUCGUAAUUCAUGACCCAAUAAAAGUUAAUCUAAUAUCUUUAUGUAACACUUGAUAGCAUGUAUGAAAGGAGAUGAUGAAUAUAAAUUAUGACGACCAUUUGAGCAGCCUCGACACCGUCCACCAAUGUAGGGCCGAUCUUCCACUCAUCAUUCAAGGACCUAGUUUCGAAGCCACUGAGAGUAGUGGUAUUCCCAACACUCUAAAUCAUACCACACCCACAAGGAUUGGUCAGGGCUCAAAUAUCCAUACUUAAACCUAACGACGUGUAACACCGGAGUUACAUAAUGGUACAACAUCAACACAUCUCCAAUUACAAACAUCUUCAUUCGGCUUCAAUACUCGACGACCGGCAUACCUCAUUCGCAUCGAACAUACAAAAUAAAACUUGACAUUGUGCUUGAGCUUUCAAACAACCCUGCAUUCCUCCAAAACACUUGUAUAGAAACCAAACAUACAAAAUGUAACAUUAAAAAACUAUGGCUUGCAAGUAUUUCAUGCAAGUAUUUAUUUUACUAAAAUAUUGGGUUAAAUCUCUCCAACAAUAUAUAGGUUUUCUUUUACAAGUUGUUGUGUCAUGUUUUUUCUAACAAGUGUUGUGGAACUGUUACAGUUCCAACAACAAUUGAAUAACUAUUGUCUAACACUUAAUCACAUAUGGCCUCGAUAUUUAAUAAAAUAUUUUCAUAACAGACACAGGAGAUAUCAGCCAAUUUUUGUUGUAGUGAGCUAGGACAACACUCUCGAAUGGGAGGGCAUCAACUUGGCGUUAUAGCUCCCAUGAAAAUCAUAAAAGCCAAAAGGAUUGCCGUCAUCGGCGUAAUUACAUACAUUACUAUACUAUCCAUUGCAGAGCUAUUUCAUUAGAAAUCACAAGUUCAAACGAACUAUUUCAUAUCACUCUAGUUAUGAGUAAAGAUUUUUUGAUGGUAACUUUAAUAUCCAACUGCUUUAUUUUCACCGUAUAUUAGUUGUCUCCAAGUUGAUGGAUGGCAUGAUUCACAAGCUAGAAAAGAUUUGUCCAUGAUAUUUAAUUUACUGAAAAAAUCCGAAGGAUGAAUUUUUUUUUUUAUUACAGAACUCAAAUUUUGUGGUUGUCAUAACUUGAAUAUAUUUAAUAAAGAAAACGAGGUGAAUGAUGUUUCAUAUCCAUGAGUUGUAGAGAGUCUUAUAUAUCCUUUUAUUUGUACAUGGCCAAAUAUUUCUAUGGCUAUUGAGAUACUGAGUAGAUAUGUGUCAAAAAACGACAUAGAAGAUCCUAGUUCAUAAAAGUUCUUUUUUUAUGAUGUUAAUAGAUUAAUUUAAAAGAAAUCUAUAUUAAAUUGUUUGACUUUACAUGCGAGGAUGACAAUUUGAAUCCAAAUAAGGGCGCCACAAAUUUAUUAAUUAGUUAUAAGCAUAUUAGAAACAAUUCUCAAAUCGUUGAUCGCAAGACUAUGUCAAUUAUUUGCAGUGCAAGCAAAGUAAAUUGUAAGAAGUAAUCACUUUCAAUGGUGAGAAUCAAGCUUUCUUAAUCCUUACAACUCAUCAAAAUAGGCAAAGUCGUAGUAAUUUGAUUUUAAACCUUGAAAAUUGAACUUCCUUAAUCUAUUAAAGUAAGCACAAGCAUCUCCACAUCAAAAUCUCUAAAGUCGGUGAGAUAAAACUGAAGUCCUUUGCAUUCCAUGAAUGGUAUAUAUAUGAAUUAUAUUUUUAUAAAGGUAUGGACUCUAAAUAGAGUGGUUGAUAUUUUUGGUUUUAUUAUCUCACCUGAUUUCAAAGAUUGGGGGGCUAUGUGACUCAACCACCUCCUUCUCACACAAAAUACAACAACUAAAAAGAACAAAUUGCAUUCAAUAUGAAAAUUGGAUAAGUUUGUGAUUAAAAUCACACAUGUAACAGUUGCGUUAUUAUGCUUUAAAAUAUGUAACAGUUGCGUUAUUAUUCUUUAAAAUGAAAGAUUUGGAAUACAAUAAGAUAGUGGCAUUGAAAAUAUUUUCUACGGUUUUAGUAUUUUUCGCCCACCAACAAUGCCACAACACUCGAUGACAUCAGGACAACAGCUGGGAGGGGGUACAAAAGCUGUGGUGAAUGUCAUGAUGGCCAUGACUACCAUGAUCACUAACACCAACUGCGCUACAGAUUUCAUUUUUCCUUCCUUCUCUAUAAUAAGAUCCUUUAUAACAAAGUAAUGAUGUAUUUCUCUUUUGUUUUGAUGGUGAGUUGAAUUUCGUGUUGUUUAUCAUGUAUAUUUAUAGGGAUAGUAUUGAAUGAUAAAUAAUCCAAAUCUAUUAAGAAAUUAAUACAUAAGAUCUUUUCUAAAAAUUAUUCUAGAAAAGGGAGAUAUUAGUUCGUAUCAUUCAUAUUAUUUAUAGUCCCAGAAGGAAACAUAUAUUCUCAGGAUUUUUGAUGAUGACAAAAAAGUAUCACUUGAAAUUCUUGGAAAUGUCGUUUUUGAACAAAAAAUAGAUUGGUGGCACAAUUGUCUUUUUUAAAAAAAAUUAAAUAAUCAAAUUUUAAAUAUAUUUUUUUCUUACUCAAAAUUUAUUUAGCAACUGUCUCAUUUUUUUUAUACUUCAACUUUUUACCGAUACGACUACAAGCAAAAUUGAAAAAGACAACUGAUUUUGCCAGUUGUUUGAGCCAUAGUUUUUCGUUGUCAGCCGCCGUCUCUUAUGUAUAUCAGACAAUGAUACAAAUACUAUUGUGUAAUUACCUUCCCAUUACAGUCGAAAUUACUUGAGAAUUCACUUCAACAUCCUCUUAUACUCCUAUACGCAUAUGAAAACGGAAUUAUACAUCCAUCUUUAUUCACUUUGUAAUCAACAUACAUGACUUCAUCUUGGGAAAUAUGUUUUUUAAAAUCAUGAGAGAUAUUAUCUUGGACCUUGAAGUUUUUUAUUUGAGAAGCAAGAGAAAUUAUUUCCUCGUAUUGAAAAAUCCUAGUUAUAUACAUCAUAGAUAAAUCUUCUUUAAAUGUUCCUCCUCAAGGCUGGUAUUGUCUAAAGCUAAAUACUUAAUUUUUACAAGGAUUUACACAACAACUGAUGCUACCUCGUGAUCAAAAAUAGAAGGAGAAAAUAAACGGAUUUGUAUAACCACGGAAAGAGCUUAUUUAAUAAUAAUUGGAACUGGCAUAUAACCAAGUAGGCAUAGCAAAACGCGAACAUUGAACAAGUAAUGUAUCAUAUGCAACAUCUAAUACUUAAUAUUAGUCAUAUUCGUCAUAUAUAGAGGGAGUAUACGUUUGUUCAAUAUGGGACUCGCAAAUAGAGUUUGUGAUAUCGGGCAAAAAGGAACCUCAAAAUAUAUAAUAAACGAAAAAUUGUCGAAGAAAAGGAGGCCCAUUUAUUAAUCCACAAUUUCUUAUUUAUUAAUUAAUAUGUAAUUAUUCAAUUAAAUUAUAAUUAAACAAUUAAAUUAUAAUUAAAAGAGUCCUUUAAAUAUCAUCCCUCAUGGCCCAACUUCAUGGCCAACCCACUCAAAGUUAUUCAAAAUCACAUUGAAACUCAAAGAAAGAUCCAAACCUAUCACCUAAAACACCACAAACAUGAACAUAUUAUCACCAAAGCAUAAACCUACUCUAUCUGUAAACAUGAAAACAUCUAUAUGAACGACCACAUCUCAUAAUACAUGACUAUGUUUUUAGGCUUAGUUCAUUACAUCUCUAAGGAUAUGUAAGCAUCACAUAAGGAUCGUUUCAAUUCCCAAAACACCAAUGCACCUUAGAAGCUUUGAAACUCGUAAUUCGUGACCAAAUAAAAGUUAAUCUAAUAUCUUUAUGUAACACUUGAUAGCAUAUAUGAAAAGAGAUGAUGAAUAUAAAUUCUGAAGACCAUUUGAGCAGCCUCGACACCGUCCACCAAUGUAGGGCCGAUCUUCCACUCAUCAUUCAAGGACCUAGUUCCGAAGCCACUGAAAGUAGUGGUAUUUCCAACACUCUAAAUCCUACCACACCCACAAGGAUUGGUCAGGGCUCAAAUAUCCAUACUUAAACCUAACGACGUGUAACACCGGAGUUACAUAAUGGUACAACAUCAACACAUCUCCAAUUACAAUUACCCUCAUUCGGCUUCAAUACUCGACGACCGGCAUACCUCAUUCGCAUCGAACAUACAAAAUAAAACUUGACAUUGUGCUUGAGCUUUCAAACAACCCUGCAUUCCUCCAAAACACUUGUAUAGAAACCAAAGAUACAAAAUGUAACAUUAAAAAACUAUGGCUUGCAAGUAUUUCAUACAAGUAUUUAUUUUACUAAAAUAUUGGGUUAAGUCCUUCCAACAAUAGGUUUUAUUUUACAAGUUGUUGUGGCAUGUUUUUUAUAACAAGUGUUGUGGAAAUGUUAUGGAACUCUCAUUUCAACAACAAUUGAAUAACUAUUGUCUAACACUCAAUCACAUAUCGCCUCGAUAUUUAAUAAAAUAUUUUCAUAACAGACAAGGGGGAUAUCAACCAAUUCUUCUUGCAGUGAGCUAAGACAACACUCUCGAAUGGGAGGGCAACAACUUGGCGUUAUAGCUCCCAUGAAAAUCAUAAAAGCCAAAAGGAUUACCGUCAUGGGCGUAAAUACAUACAUUACUGUACUAUCCAUUGCAGAGCUAUUUCAUUAGAAAUCACAAGUUCAAGAGAACUAUUUCAUAUCACUCUAGUUAUGAGUAAAGAUUUUUUGAUGGUAACUUUAAUAUCCAACUGCUUUAUUUUCACCGUAUAUUAGUUGUCUCCAAGUUGAUGGAUGGCAUCAUUCACAAGCUAAAAAAGAUUUGUCCAUGAUAUUUAAUAUCCUCAAAAAAUCCGAAGGAUGAAUUUUUUUUUGUUACAGAACAACUCAAAUUUUGUGGUUGUCAUAACUCGAAUAUACUGAACUGUUAGUACAAGAAGAUAUGCUCACAAACUAAUAAAGAAAACGAGGUGAAUGAUGUUUCAUAUCCAUGAGUUGUAGAGAGUCUUAUACAUCCUUUGAUUUGUACAUGGCCAAAUAUUUCUAUGGCUAUUGAGAUAGUGAGUAGAUAUGUGUCAAAAAACAACAUAGAAGAUCUUAGUUCAUAAAAGUUCUUUUUUGUGAUGUUAAUAGAUUAAUUUAAAAGAAAUCUAUAUUAAAUUGUUUGACUUUACAUGUGAGGAUGACAAUUUGAAUCCAAAUAAGGGCAUCAUAAAUUUAUUAAUUUGUUAUAAGCAUAUUAGAAACAAUACUCAAAUCGUUGAUUGCAAGACUAUGUUUAAUUAUUUCUAAAUAACAAAGCAUUAAUUGCUUACUCAUAAUGUAUUUGCAGUGCAAGCAAAGUAAUUUGUUAGAAGUAAUCACUUUCAAUGGUGAGAAUCAAGCUUUCUUAAACCUUCCAACUCAUCAAAAUAGGCAAAGUCAUAGUAAUUUGAUUUUAAAGCUUGAGAAUUGAACUUCCUUAAUUUAUUAAAGUAAGCACAAGCAUCUCCACAUCAAAAUCUCUAAAGUCAGUGAGAUAAAACUGAAGUCCUUUGCAUUCCAUGAAUGGUAUAUAUAUAUGAAUUAUAUUUUUAUAAAGGUAUGGACUCUAAAUAGCGUGGUUGAUAUUUUUGGUUUUAUUUUCUCACUUGAUUUCAAAGAUUGGGGGGCUAUGUGACUCAACCACCUCCUUCUCACACAAAAUACAAAAACUAAAAAGAACAAACUGCAUUCAAUAUGAAAAUUGGAUAAGUUUGUGAUUAAAAUCACACCUGUAACAGUUGCGUUAUUAUUCUUUAAAAUGAAAGAUUUGGAAUACAAUAAGAUAGUGGCAUUGAAAAGAUUUUCUACGGUUUUAGUAUUUUUCGCCCACCAUCAAUGCCACAACACUCGAUGACAUCAGGACAACAGCUGGGAGGGGGUACAAAAGCUGUGGUGAAUGUCAUGAUGGCCAUGACUACCAUGAUCACUAACACCAACUGCGCUACAGAUUUCAUUUUUCCUUCCUUCUCUAUAAUAAGAUCCUUUAUAACAAAGUAAUGAUGUAUUUCUUUUUUCUUUUGAUGGUGAGUUGAAUAUCCGUGUUGUUUAUCAUGUAUAUUUAUAGGGAUAGUAUUGAAUGAUAAAUAAUCCAAAUCUAUUAAGAAAUUAAUACAGAAGAUAUUUUCUAAAAAUUAUUCUAGAAAAGGGAGAUAUUAGUUCGUAUCAUUCAUAUUAUUUAUAGUCCCACAAGGAAACAUAUAUUCUCAGGAUUUUUGAUGAUGACAAAAAAGUAUCACUUGAAAUUCUUGGACAUGUCGUUUUUGAACAAAAAAUAGAUUGGUGGCACAAUUGUCUUUUUAAAAAAAAAAUAAAAAUCAAAUUUUAAAUAUAUUUUUUUCUUAAUCAAAAUUUAUUUAGCAACUGUCUCAUUUUUUUUAUACUUCAACUUUUUACCGAUACGACUACAAGCAAAAUUGAAAAAGACAACUGAUUUUGCAAGUUGUUUGAGCCAUAGUUUUUCGUUGUCAGCCGCCGUCUCUUAUGUAUAUCAGACAAUGAUACAAAUACUAUUGUGUAAUUACCUUCCCAUUACAGUCGAAAUUACUUGAGAAUUCACUUCAACAUCCUCUUAUACUCCUAUACGCAUAUGAAAACGGAAUUAUACAUCCAUCUUUAUUCACUUUGUAAUCAACAUACAUGACUUCAUCUUGGGAAAUAUGUUUUUUAAAAUCAUGAGAGAUAUUAUCUUGGACCUUGAAGUUUUUUAUUUGAGAAGCAAGAGAAAUUAUUUCCUCGUAUUGAAAAAUCCUAGUUAUAUACAUCAUAGAUAAAUCUUCUUUAAAUGUUCCUCCUCAAGGCUCGUAUUGUCUAAAGCUAAAUACUUAAUUUUUACAAGGUUUUACACAAAUACUGAUGCUACCUCGUGAUCAAAAAUCGAAGGAGAAAAUAAACGGAUUUGUAUAACCACAAAAAGAGCUUAUUUAAUAAUAAUUGGAACUGGCAUAUAACCAACUAGGCAUCGCAAAACAUGAACAUUGUACAAGUAAUGUAUCAUAUGCAACAUCUAAUACUUAAUAUUAGUCAAAUUCGUCUUAUAUAGAGGGAGUAUACGUUUGUUCAAUAUGGGACUCGCAAAUAGAGUUUGUGAUAUCGGGCAAAAGGAACCUCAAAAUAUAUAAUAAACGAAAAAUUGUCGAAGAAAAGGAGGCCCAUUUAUCAAUCCACAAUUUCUAAUUUAUUAAUUAAUAUGUAAUUAUUCAAUUAAAUUAUAAUUAAAAUGGAGUGUCGGGCUUCGAGUAAAGACCUUUGAAUAUCAUCCCUCUGGGCCUAAAUUCGUGGACAACCCACUCAAAACUAUUCAAAAGCACAUUGAAAGUCAGAGAAGGAUCCAAAUCUAUCAGACAAAUCACUACAAGGGUGAACAUAUUAUUAUCAAAGCAUAAACCUACUCUAUCUGUAAACAUGAAAACAUCUAUAUGAACGACCACAUCUCAUAAUACAUGACUAUGUUUUUAGGCUUAGUUCAUUACAUCUCUAAGGAUAUUUAAGCAACACAUAAGGAUCGUUUCAAUUCCCAAAACACCAAUGCACCCCUAGAAGGUUUGAAACUCGUAAUUCAUGACCCAAUAAAAGUUAAUCUAAUAUCUUUAUGUACCACUUGAUAGCAUGUAUGAAAGGAGAUGAUGAAUAUAAAUUCUGACGACCAUUUGAGCAGCCUCGACACCGUCCACCAAUGUAGGGCCGAUCUUCCACUCAUCAUUCAAGGACCUAGUUCCGAAGCCAAUGAAAGUAGUGGUAUUUCCAACACUCGAAAUCUCACCACACCCACAAGCAUUGAUCAGGGCUCAAAUAUCCAUACUUAAACCUAACGACGUGUAACACCGGAGUUACAUAAUGGUACAACAUCAACACAUCUCCAAUUACAAACACCCUCAUUCGGCUUCAAUACUCGACGACCGGCAUACCUCAUUCGCAUCGAACAUACAAAAUAAAACUUGACAUUGUGCUUGAGCUUUCAAACAACCCUGCAUUCCUCAAAAACACUUGUAUAGAAACCAAACAUACAAAAUAUAACAUUAAAAAACUAUGGCUUGCAAGUAUUUCAUACAAGUAUUUAUUUUACUAAACUAUUGGGUUAAGUCCUUCCAAUAAUAGGUUUUAUUUUACAAGUUGUUNGGUUUUUCUUUUACAAGUUGUUGUGUCUUGUUUUUUCUAACAAGUGUUGUGGAAAUGUUAUGGAACUCUCAUUUCAACAACAACUGAAUAACUAUUGUCUAACACUUAAUCACAUAUGGCCUCGAUAUUUAAUAAAAUAUUUUCAUAACAGACAAGGGGGAUAUCAGCCAAUUCUUCUUGUAGUGAGCUAAGACAACACUCUCGAAUGGGUGGGCAACAACUUGGCGUUAUAGCUCCAAUGAAAAUCAUAAAAGCCAAAUGAAUUACCGUCAUCGGCGUAAUUACAUACGUUACUAUACUAUCCAUUGCAGAGCUAUUUCAUUAGAAAUCCCAAGUUCAAGAGAACUAUUUCAUAUCACUCUAGUUAUGAGUAAAGAUUUUUUGAUGGUAACUUUAAUAUCCAAGUGCUUUAUUUUCACCGUAUAUCAGUUGUCUCCAAGUCGAUGGAUGGUAUCAUUCACAAGCUAAAAAAGAUUUGUCCAUGAUAUUUAAUAUCCUGAAAAAAUCCGAAGGAUGAAUUUUUUUUUGUUACAGAACAACUCAAAUUUUGUGGUUGUCAUAACUUGAAUAUAUUGAACUGUUAGUACAAGAAGAUAUGCUCACAAACUAAUAAAGAAAACGAGGUGAAUGAUGUUUCAUAUCCAUGAGUUGUAGAGAGUCUUAUACAUCCUUUGAUUUGUACAUGGCCAAAUAUUUCUAUGGCUAUUGAGAUAGUGAGUAGAUAUGUGUCAAAAAACAACAUAGAAGAUCUUAGUUCAUAAAAGUUCUUUUUUGUGAUGUUAAUAGAUUAAUUUAAAAGAAAUCUAUAUUAAAUUGUUUGACUUUACAUGUGAGGAUGACAAUUUGAAUCCAAAUAAGGGCAUCAUAAAUUUAUUAAUUUGUUAUAAGCAUAUUAGAAACAAUACUCAAAUCGUUGAUUGCAAGACUAUGUUUAAUUAUUUCUAAAUAACAAAGCAUUAAUUGCUUACUCAUAAUGUAUUUGCAGUGCAAGCAAAGUAAUUUGUUAGAAGUAAUCACUUUCAAUGGUGAGAAUCAAGCUUUCUUAAACCUUCCAAGUCAUCAAAAUAGGCAAAGUCAUAGUAAUUUGAUUUUAAAGCUUGAGAAUUGAACUUCCUUAAUUUAUUAAAGUAAGCACAAGCAUCUCCACAUCAAAAUCUCUAAAGUCAGUGAGAUAAAACUGAAGUCCUUUGCAUUCCAUGAAUGGUAUAUAUAUAUGAAUUAUAUUUUUAUAAAGGUAUGGACUCUAAAUAGCGUGGUUGAUAUUUUUGGUUUUAUUUUCUCACUUGAUUUCAAAGAUUGGGGGGCUAUGUGACUCAACCACCUCCUUCUCACACAAAAUACAAAAACUAAAAAGAACAAACUGCAUUCAAUAUGAAAAUUGGAUAAGUUUGUGAUUAAAAUCACACCUGUAACAGUUGCGUUAUUAUUCUUUAAAAUGAAAGAUUUGGAAUACAAUAAGAUAGUGGCAUCGAAAAUAUUUUCUACGGUUUUAGUAUUUUUCGCCCACCAUCAAUGCCACAACACUCGAUGACAUCAGGACAACAGCUGGGAGGGGGUACAAAAGCUGUGGUGAAUGUCAUGAUGGCCAUGACUACCAUGAUCACUAACACCAACUGCGCUACAGAUUUCAUUUUUCCUUCCUUCUCUAUAAUAAGAUCCUUUAUAACAAAGUAAUGAUGUAUUUCUUUUUUCUUUUGAUGGUGAGUUGAAUAUCCGUGUUGUUUAUCAUGUAUAUUUAUAGGGAUAGUAUUGAAUGAUAAAUAAUCCAAAUCUAUUAAGAAAUUAAUACAGAAGAUAUUUUCUAAAAAUUAUUCUAGAAAAGGGAGAUAUUAGUUCGUAUCAUUCAUAUUAUUUAUAGUCCCACAAGGAAACAUAUAUUCUCAGGAUUUUUGAUGAUGACAAAAAAGUAUCACUUGAAAUUCUUGGAAAUGUCGUUUUUGAACAAAAAAUAGAUUGGUGGCACAAUUGUCUUUUUAAAAAAAAAUUAAAAAUCAAAUUUUAAAUAUAUUUUUUUCUUACUCAAAAUUUAUUUAGCAACUGUCUCAUUUUUUUUAUACUUCAACUUUUUACCGAUACGACUACAAGCAAAAUUGAAAAAGACAACUGAUUUUGCCAGUUGUUUGAGCCAUAGUUUUUCGUUGUCAGCCGCCGUCUCUUAUGUAUAUCAGACAAUGAUACAAAUACUAUUGUGUAAUUACCUUCCCAUUACAGUCGAAAUUACUUGAGAAUUCACUUCAACAUCCUCUUAUACUCCUAUACGCAUAUGAAAACGGAAUUAUACAUCCAUCUUUAUUCACUUUGUAAUCAACAUACAUGACUUCAUCUUGGGAAAUAUGUUUUUUAAAAUCAUGAGAGAUAUUAUCUUGGACCUUGAAGUUUUUUAUUUGAGAAGCAAGAGAAAUUAUUUCCUCGUAUUGAAAAAUCCUAGUUAUAUACAUCAUAGAUAAAUCUUCUUUAAAUGUUCCUCCUCAAGGCUCGUAUUGUCUAAAGCUAAAUACUUAAUUUUUACAAGGUUUUACACAACAACUGAUGCUACCUCGUGAUCAAAAAUCGAAGGAGAAAAUAAACGGAUUUGUAUAACCACAAAAAGAGCUUAUUUAAUAAUAAUUGGAACUGGCAUAUAACCAACUAGGCAUAGCAAAACAUGAACAUUGAACAAGUAAUGUAUCAUAUGCAACAUCUAAUACUUAAUAUUAGUCAUAUUCGUCAUAUAUAGAGGGAGUAUACGUUUGUUCAAUAUGGGACUCGCAAAUAGAGUUUGUGAUAUCGGGCAAAAAGGAACCUCAAAAUAUAUAAUAAACGAAAAAUUGUCGAAGAAAAGGAGGCCCAUUUAUUAAUCCACAAUUUCUUAUUUAUUAAUUAAUAUGAAAUUACUUACUUCAAUUAUAAUUAAAAUGGCGUGUCGGGCUUCGAGUAAAGACCUUUGAAUAUCAUCCCUCUGGGCCUAAAUUCGUGGACAACCCACUCAAAACUAUUCAAAAGCACAUUGAAAGUCAGAGAAGGAUCCAAAUCUAUCACACAAAUCACUACAAGGGUGAACAUAUUAUUAUCAAAGCAUAAACCUACUCUAUCUGUAAACAUGAAAACAUCUAUAUGAACGACCACAUCUCAUAUGUAAUACAUGACUAUGUUUUUAGGCUUAGUUCAUUACAUCUCUAAGGAUAUGUAAGCAUCACAUAAGGAUCGUUUCAAUUCCCAAAACACCAAUGCACCCCUAGAAGCUUUGAAACUCAUAAUUCGUGACCAAAUAAAAGUUAAUCUAAUAUCUUUAUGUAACACUUGAUAGCAUGUAUGAAAGGAGAUGAUGAAUAUAAAUUCUGACGACCAUUUGAGCAGCCUCGACACCGUCCACCAAUGUAGGGCCGAUCUUCCACUCAUCAUUCAAGGACCUAGUUCCGAAGCCAAUGAAAGUAGUGGUAUUUCCAACACUCGAAAUCUCACCACACCCACAAGCAUUGAUCAGGGCUCAAAUAUCCAUACUUAAACCUAACGACGUGUAACACCGGAGUUACAUAAUGGUACAACAUCAACACAUCUCCAAUUACAAACACCCUCAUUCGGCUUCAAUACUCGACGACCGGCAUACCUCAUUCGCAUCGAACAUACAAAAUAAAACUUGACAUUGUGCUUGAGCUUUCAAACAACCCUGCAUUCCUCAAAAACACUUGUAUAGAAACCAAACAUACAAAAUGUAACAUUAAAAAACUAUGGCUUGCAAGUAUUUCAUGCAAGUAUUUAUUUUACCUAAAUAUUGGGUGAAGUCCUUCAAACAAUAGGUUUUCUUUUACAAGUUGUUGUGUCAUGUUUUUUCUAACAAGUGUUGUGGAAAUGUUAUGGAACUCUCAUUUCAACAACAAUUGAAUAACUAUUGUCUAACACUUAAUCACAUAUGGCCUCGAUAUUUAAUAAAAUAUUUUCAUAACAGACAAGGGGGAUAUCAGCCAAUUCUUCUUGUAGUGAGCUAAGACAACACUCUCGAAUGGGAGGGCAACAACUUGGCGUUAUAGCUCCCAUGAAAAUCAUAAAAGCCAAAUGGAUUACCGUCAUCGGCGUAAUUACAUACAGUACUAUACUAUCCAUUGCAGAGCUAUUUCAUUAGAAAUCACAAGUUCAAGAGAACUAUUUCAUAUCACUCUAUAUGAGUAAAGAUUUUUUGAUGGUAACUUUAGUAUCCAAGUCCUUUAUUUUCACCGUAUAUUAGUUGUCUCCAAGUUGAUGGAUGGCAUCAUUCAAAAGCUAAAAAAGAUUUGUCCAUGAUAUUUAAUAUCCUGAAGAAGGAUGAAUUUUUUUUUUGUUACAGAACAACUCAAAUUUUGUGGUUGUCAUAACUUGAAUAUAUUGAACUGUUAGUCCAAGAAGAUAUUCUCAUAAACUAAUAAAGAAAACGAGGUGAAUGAUGUUUCAUAUCCAUGAGUUGGAGAGAAUCUUAUACAUCCUUUGAUUUGUACAUUGCCAAAUAUUUCUAUGGCUAUUGAGAUAGUGAGUAGAUAUGUGUCAAAAAACGACAUAGAAGAUCUUAGUUCAUAAAAGUUCUUUUUUUGUGAUGUUAAUAGAUUAAUUUAAAAGAAAUCUAUAUUAAAUUGUUUGACUUUACAUGUGAGGAUGACAAUUUGAAUCCAAAUAAGGGCGUCAUAAAUUUAUUAAUUAGUUAUAAGCAUAUUAGAAACAAUACUCAAAUCAUUGAUUGCAAGACUAUGUCAAUUAAUUAUUUCUAAAUAACAAAGCAUUAAUUGCUUACUCAUAAUGUAUUUGCAGUGCAAGCAAAGUAAUUUGUUAGAAGUAAUCACUUUCAAUGGUGAGAAUCAAGCUUUCAUAAACCUUCCAACUCAUCAAAAUAGGCAAAGUCAUAGUAAUUUGAUUUUAAAGCUUGAGAAUUGAACUUCCUUAAUUUAUUAAAGUAAGCACAAGCAUCUCCACAUCAAAAUCUCUAAAGUCGGUUAGAUAAAACGAAAGUCCUUUGCAUUUCAUGAAUGGUAUAUUUAUGAAUUAUAUUUUUAUAAACGUAUGGACUCUAAAUAGCGUGGUUGAUAUUUUUGGUUUUAUUUUCUCACCUGAUUUCAAAGAUUAGGGGGCUAUGUGACUCAACCACCUCUUUCUCACACUAAAUACAACAACUAAAAAGAACAAAUUGCAUUCAAUAUGAAAAUUGGAUAAGUUUGUGAUUAAAAUCACACUUGUAACAGUUGCGUUAUUAUUCUUUAAAAUGAAAGAUUUGGAAUACAAUAAGAUAGCGGCAUUGAAAAGAUUUUCUACGGUUUUAGUAUUUUUCGCCCACCAUCAAUGCCACAACACUCGAUGACAUCAGGACAACAGCUGGGAGGGGGUACAAAAGCUGUGGUGAAUGUCAUGAUGGCCAUGACUACCAUGAUCACUAACACCAACUGCGCUACAGAUUUCAUUUUUCCUUCCUUCUCUAUAAUAAGAUCCUUUAUAACAAAGUAAUGAUGUAUUUCUUUUUUGUUUUGAUGGUGAGUUGAAUAUCCGUGUUGUUUAUCAUGUAUAUUUAUAGGGAUAGUAUUGAAUGAUAAAUAAUCCAAAUCUAUUAAGAAAUUAAUACAGAAGAUAUUUUCUAAAAAUUAUUCUAGAAAAUGGAGAUAUUAGUUCGUAUCAUUCAUAUUAUUUAUAGUCCCACAAGGAAACAUAUAUUCUCAGGAUUUUUGCUGAUGACAAAAAAGUAUCACUUGAAAUUCUUGGAAAUGUCGUUUUUGAACAAAAAAUAGAUUGGUGGCUCAAUUGUCUUUUUAAAAAAAAAAUUAAAAAUCUAAUUUCAAAUAUAUUUUUUUCUUACUCAGAAAUUUAUUUAGCAACUGUCUCAUUUUUUUAUACUUCAACUUUUUACCGUUACGACUACAAGCAAAAUUGAAUAAGACAACUGAUUUUGCCAGUUGUUUGAGCCAUAGUUUUUCGUUGUCAGCCGCCGUCGCCAUAGUUUUACGUUGUCAGCCGCCGUCUCUUAUGUAUAUCAGACAAUGAUACAAAUAGUAUUGUGUAAUUUACCUUCCCAUUACAGUCGAAAUUACUUGAGAAUUCACUUCAACAUCCUCUUAUACUCCUAUACGCAUAUGAAAACAGAAUUAUACAUUCAUCUUUAUUCAUUUUGUAAUCAACAUACAUGACUUCAUCUUGGGAAAUAUGAUUUUUAAAAUCAUGAGAGAUAUUAUCUUGAACCUUGAAGUUUUUUAUUUGAGAAGCAAUAGAAAUUAUUUCCUCAUAUUGAAAACAAAGUAAGGGUAUGGACUCUAAAUAGCGUGGUUGAUAUUUUUGGUUUUAUUUUCUCACCUGAUUUCAAAGAUUGGGGGGCUAUGUGACCCAACCACCUCCUUCUCACACAAAAUACAAAAACUAAAAAGAACAAAUUGCAUUCAAUAUGAAAAUUGGAUAAGUUUGUGAUUAAAAUCACACCUGUAACAGUUGCGUUAUUAUUCUUUAAAAUGAAAGAUUUGGAAUACAAUAAGAUAGUGGCAUUGAAAAGAUUUUCUACGGUUUUAGUAUUUUUCGCCCACCAUCAAUGCCACAACACUCGAUGACAUCAGGACAACAGCUGGGAGGGGGUACAAAAGCUGUGGUGAAUGUCAUGAUGGCCAUGACUACCAUGAUCACUAACACCAACUGCGCUACAGAUUUCAUUUUUCCUUCCUUCUCUAUAAUAAGAUCCUUUAUAACAAAGUAAUGAUGUAUUUCUCUUUUGUUUUGAUGGUGAGUUGAAUAUCGUGUUGUUUAUCAUGUAUAUUUAUAGGGAUAGUAUUGAAUGAUAAAUAAUCCAAAUCUAUUAAGAAAUUAAUACAUAAGAUCUUUUCUAAAAAUUAUUCUAGAAAAUGGAGAUAUUAGUUCGUAUCAUUCAUAUUAUUUAUAGUCCCAGAAGGAAACAUAUAUUCUCAGGAUUUUUGCUGAUGACAAAAAAAUAUCACUUAAAAUUCUUGGAAAUGUCGUUUUUGAACAAAAAAUAGAUUGGUGGCUCAAUUGUCUUUUUAAAAAAAAAAUCAAUUUUUAAAUAUAUUUUUUUCUUACUCAAAAUUUAUUUAGCAACUGUCUCAUUUUUUUAUACUUCAACUUUUUACCUAUACGACUACGAGCAAAAUUGAAUAAAACAUCUGAUUUUGCCAGUUGUUUGAGCCAUAGUUUUUCGUUGUCAGCGGCCGUCUCUUAUGUAUAUCAGACAAUGAUACAAAUACUAUUGUGUAAUUUACCUUCCCAUUACAGUCGAAAUUACUUGAGAAUUCACUUCAACAUCCUCUUAUACUCCUAUACGCAUAUGAAAACAGAAUUAUACAUUCAUCUUUAUUCACUUUGUAAUCAACAUACAUGACUUCAUCUUGGGAAAUAUGAUUUUUAAAAUCAUGAGAGAUAUUAUCUUGAACCUUGAAGUUUUUUAUUUGAGAAGCAAUAGAAAUUAUUUCCUCAUAUUGAAAAAUCCUACUUAUAUACAUCAUAGAUAAAUCUUCUUUAAAUGUUCCUCCUCAAGGCUCGUAUUGUCUAAAGCUAAAUACUUAAUUUUUACAAGGUUUUACACAACAACUGAUGCUACCUCGUGAUCAAAAAUAGAAGGAGAAAAUAAACGGAUUUGUAUAACCACAAAAAGAGCUUAUUUAAUAAUAAUUGGAACUGGUAUAUAACCAACUAGGCAUAACAAAACGUGAACAUUGAACAAGUAAUGUAUCAUAUGCAACAUCUAAUACUUAAUAUUAGUCAUAUUCGUCAUGUACAGAGGGAGUAUACAUUUGUUCAAUAUGGGACUCGCAAAUAGAGUUUGUGAUAUCGGGCAAAAAGGAACCUCAAAAUAUAUAAUAAACGAAAAAUUGUCGAAGAAAAGGAGGCCCAUUUAUUAAUCCACAAUUUCUUAUUUAUUAAUUAAUAUGUAAUUACUUAAUUCAAUUAUAAUUAAAAUGGCAUGUCGGGCUUCGAGUAAAGACCUUUGAAUAUCAUCCCUCUGGGUCUAAAUUCGUGGACAACCCACUCAAAACUAUUCAAAAGCACAUUGAAAGUCAGAGAAGGAUCCAAAUCUAUCACACAAAUCACCACAAGGGUGAACACAUUAUUAUCAAAGCAUAAACCUACUCUAUCUGUAAACAUGAAAACAUCUAUAUGAACGACCACAUCUCAUAAUACAUGACUAUGUUUUUAGGCUUAGUUCAUUACAUCUCUAAGGAUAUGUAAGCAUCACAUAAGGAUCGUUUCAAUUCCCAAAACACCAAUGCACCCCUAGAAGCUUUGAAACUCGUAAUUCGUGACCAAAUAAAAGUUAAUCUAAUAUCUUUAUGUAACACUUGAUAGCAUGUAUGAAAGGAGAUGAUGAAUAUAAAUUCUGACGACCAUUUGAGCAGCCUCGACACCGUCCACCAAUGUAGGGCCAAUCUUCUACUCAUCAUUCAAGGACCUAGUUCCGAAGCCACUGAAAGUAGUGGUAUUUCCAACACUCUAAAUCUUACCACACCCACAAGGAUUGGUCAGGGCUCAAAUAUCCAUACUUAAACCUAAUGACAUGUAACACCGCCGUUACAUAAUGGUACAACAUCAACACAUCUUCAAUUACAAACACCCUCAUUCGGCUUCAAUACUCAACGACCGACAUACAUCAUUCGCAUCGAACAUACAAAAUAAAAUUUGACAUUGUGCUUGAGCUUUCAAACAACCCUGGAUUCCUCUAAAACACUUGUAUAGAAACCAAACAUACAAAAUGUAACAUUAAAAAACUAUGGCUUGCAAGUAUUUCAUGCAAGUAUUUAUUUUACUUAAAUAUUGGGUCAAGUCCUUCAAACAAUAGGUUUUCUUUUACAAGUUGUUGUGUCAUGUUUUUUCUAACAAGUGUUGUGGAAAUGUUAUGGAACUCUCAUUUCAACAACAAUUGAAUAACUAUUGUCUAACACUUAAUCACAUAUGGCCUCGAUAUUUAAUAAAAUAUUUUCAUAACAGACAAGGGGGAUAUCAGCCAAUUCUUCUUGUAGUGAGCUAAGACAACACUCUCGAAUGGGAGGGCAACAACUUGGCGUUAUAGCUCCCAUGAAAAUCAUAAAAGCCAAAUGGAUUAACGUCAUCGGCGUAAUUACAUACAUUACUAUUGUUGGGAGUCACAGUGAAAAUCACAGCAACAAUGUAUAGAGCAGUUAUAUUAUAUAAACAAGAGUAGGCCAACGAAACCACAACAAUAUAGCAUGCACGAAGAUCGUAUACACAAUAAUCAGUGACUGAUAAAUUAUGAGAAAAGAAGAGAAAGGCGCACCUUACACCGUCGCUAGAAUUAGUAUACAGAACAGCUGAGUCGCCUAGUCCUUCGAUGAAGACUAGACUGUUCUUGAAGUGAUUAUUGCCCCACUACGCUGUGAUGGGUAGUCGCAAUAUCGCUCCCAGGAUAAAACAGCACAGACCGAACCGCUCACAGACACGAGUACGAUCAACAGCGAUCAACACCUCAGUUCGCCCGAGAACAGUAUGUAUAUGUGUAUAUAUCGGAGUAGAUGGUGAGAGUGUAAGAGAGAAGAAUGAGAAUGGUGUUUGUGUUUUUCCCGUGCUACAACUCAAGUGUCGAGGCUCACUAUUUAUAGUGAGGCCAAGGCACCAACACACUGUCCAGAUUCAUUUGUCCAGGUUCAAUGAAUCUGUAUCUGUCAGACAUUCUGACCAGAUUCAUUUGUCCAGGUUCAAUGAAUCUGUAUCUGUCAGACAUUCUGACCAGAUUCAUUUGUCCAGGUUCAAUGAAUCUGUAUCUGUCAGACAUUCUGACCAGAUUCAUUUGUCCAGGUUCAAUGAAUCUGUAUCUGUCAGACAUUCUGACCAGAUUCAUUUGUCCAGGUUCAAUGAAUCUGUAUCUGUCAGACAUUCUGACCAGAUUCAUUUGUCCAGGUUCAAUGAAUCUGUAUCUGUCAGACAUUCUGACCAGAUUCAUUUGUCCAGGUUCAAUGAAUCUGUAUCUGUCAGAUAUACUGACCAGAUUCAUUUGUCCAGAUUCAAUGAAUCUGUAUCUGUCAGAUAUACUGACCAGAUUCAUUUGUCCAGAUUCAAUGAAUCUGUAUCUAUCAGAUAUACUGACCAGAUUCAUUUGUCCAGAUUAAAUGAAUCACAUUCUCAUUUCAAGCUCUUUCAAGCCACUGUAUUCAACUCUAUUUCUCAAUGGAUUUCACUAAGAAAAUGUCCCGGAAAUUACAUCAAGAACAUAUUAAAAAAUAUGCUUUAAACUUUCCAUUUUCUAACAAUCCCCCACAAAUCCAUAUAGAUAUGCAUAUUAGUCCUCAUCAUGACUUGUUUUUCAGAGUAGGUACCCUUCCGGGUUUGAACCCUCCUAAGUCCCCUACUUCGAUGGCUACCGGAUAUAGAUGGAUUGUUUCACCUUGAAUCUCUAUCCGUUGGGUGUAACCACACUCCAUAGACGACGACAAGUCAAAGGCUAUGGUGCCGAUCUACGGCUUUGAGACAUUAAUGGUCGUGUCUCGAUCCUGUUCGUCGAAUGUUUCAAGGAAUAACCCUUUCCUCUAAUUGCGACCUCACAAUUACAUUCGCUUAGCUGGGCAUCUCCAGAGAUGUACUGCAACCAUCUCGUCAAAUGACUUGACCCCAUUCAGAGUUCUAAAAACUCUUGCUAUACUUGCAGUGUCAGUACCUUUUAGGUUUGCAGGGGAUAGACUCAGAUGCAUAAGUAUCUACAUUGUAGUUAAAGGUACUACCGAUCCACCCUUACAGCUUGUUUACCACAUUGAAUACACUUUGAGGGAUCUCCUCUCAGAUGUAUUGGGUUCCCGCUGUAGAUGAAUCAUGAUGGGUUAUCAGUCCCAUCCCCAACCUUGACUUAAGGACAACAGCAUGCUCAAGCCCUUUAGUCAGUGGAUCAGCUAUGUUAUCUUGAGUUCCAAUGAACUCAAUAGCAAUAGUCCGAUCAGACACCAAACCCCUUAUAGACUUAAGUCUAACUUGGAUGUGUCUCUUUGUUUUAGCAUUAUACUUGACACUUCUGAUCUUGUCGAUAGUUGUACGGCUAUCACAAUGAACAGAAAUUGCCGGUAGCGGACGACUUACUACAGGUAACACAGACAUGAGUCCAUGUAACCAUUCAGCCUCCGUACCCGUGGCAUCCAAUGCACACAACUCGGCCUCAAACGUAGACCGAGUUACUAUAGUCUGUCUAGUCGACUUCCAGGAUACUGCUCCACCCGCAAGGGUAAACAGAUAUCCAGUCACUCCAUUGGAACCAGACUUCUUAGCUAUCCAACUUGCAUCACUAUAUCCCUCAAGCACACUCGGAUAUCUCCUGUAGUGCAACCCAAGAUAUAUGGUGCCUUUCAGAUAUCUAAGUACUCUAUCUAGAGCAUCCCAAUGAGUUCUGUUUGGACAGCUUGUAUAUCUUGCUAACUUAGACACAGAAUAUGUUAUAUCUGGUCUAGUACCAUUAGCAAGAUAUUGCAAACUACCAAUAAUCUGAGAAUAUCUUAACUGAGACACAGGUACACCUGAAGCAUUCUUGAUAAGAGCAACUUUAGGAUCAUAUGGUGUACUAGCAAUUCUACAAUUUGAAUAACCAUACUUCUCAAGUAUAGAUUUCUUUAUAUAAUGAGAUUGUGACAAGGUUAUUCCCUCAGUUGAUUGCGUCAGCUUGAGUCCAAGAAUCACAUUCGCCUCACCCAUGUCCUUCAUUUCNNNNNNNNNNNNNNNNNNNNNNNNNNNNNNNNNNNNNNNNNNNNNNNNNNNNNNNNNNNNNNNNNNNNNNNNNNNNNNNNNNNNNNNNNNNNNNNNNNNNNNNNNNNNNNNNNNNNNNNNNNNNNNNNNNNNNNNNNNNNNNNNNNNNNNNNNNNNNNNNNNNNNNNNNNNNNNNNNNNNNNNNNNNNNNNNNNNNNNNNNNNNNNNNNNNNNNNNNNNNNNNNNNNNNNNNNNNNNNNNNNNNNNNNNNNNNNNNNNNNNNNNNNNNNNNNNNNNNNNNNNNNNNNNNNNNNNNNNNNNNNNNNNNNNNNNNNNNNNNNNNNNNNNNNNNNNNNNNNNNNNNNNNNNNNNNNNNNNNNNNNNNNNNNNNNNNNNNNNNNNNNNNNNNNNNNNNNNNNNNNNNNNNNNNNNNNNNNNNNNNNNNNNNNNNNNNNNNNNNNNNNNNNNNNNNNNNNNNNNNNNNNNNNNNNNNNNNNNNNNNNNNNNNNNNNNNNNNNNNNNNNNNNNNNNNNNNNNNNNNNNNNNNNNNNNNNNNNNNNNNNNNNNNNNNNNNNNNNNNNNNNNNNNNNNNNNNNNNNNNNNNNNNNNNNNNNNNNNNNNNNNNNNNNNNNNNNNNNNNNNNNNNNNNNNNNNNNNNNNNNNNNNNNNNNNNNNNNNNNNNNNNNNNNNNNNNNNNNNNNNNNNNNNNNNNNNNNNNNNNNNNNNNNNNNNNNNNNNNNNNNNNNNNNNNNNNNNNNNNNNNNNNNNNNNNNNNNNNNNNNNNNNNNNNNNNNNNNNNNNNNNNNNNNNNNNNNNNNNNNNNNNNNNNNNNNNNNNNNNNNNNNNNNNNNNNNNNNNNNNNNNNNNNNNNNNNNNNNNNNNNNNNNNNNNNNNNNNNNNNNNNNNNNNNNNNNNNNNNNNNNNNNNNNNNNNNNNNNNNNNNNNNNNNNNNNNNNNNNNNNNNNNNNNNNNNNNNNNNNNNNNNNNNNNNNNNNNNNNNNNNNNNNNNNNNNNNNNNNNNGAAUAUGACUAAUAUUAAGUAUUAGAUGUUGCAUAUGAUACAUUAGUUGUUGAAAGUUCAGGUUUCACUAUGCUUAGUUGAUUAUAUGUAAGCUCCAAUCAUUAUUAAGUAGGCUCUUUUUGUGGUUAUACAAAUCCUUUUAUUUUCUCCUUCGAUUUUGAGCAAAAGGUAGUAUCAGUUGUUGUGUAAAAUUAAUCGUGGAAAAAUUAAAUAUUUAGCUUUAGACAAUACCAUCCUUGAAUAUGAACAUUUAAAGAAGAUUUAUUUAGGAUGUAAAUAAUUCGAUUUUUUCUAUAUGAGGAGUUAAUUGAGCUUGUUUCUCAAAUCGAAAACUUUAAGGUUCAAGAUCUAAUAUCUCUAAUGAUUAUAAAAAUCAUAUUUCCCAAUAUGAACUCAUGUAUGUUGAUUACAAACUGAAUAAACAUGAAUGUAUAGUUUUAUUUUGAUACGCGUAUAAGUGGAUGUUGAAGUAAAUUCUUAGGUAAUUUCGACUUUUAUGGGAAUAUAAAUUACACAAUAGUAUUUGUACCAUUGUCUGAUAUACAUAAGAGACGGUGACUCAAUAGACAACGGGAAAACAGUGGCUCAAAUAACGGGCGGAAACCGUUGUCUUAUUCCAUUUUGUUUGUACUGAUAUGGGUCAAAAGUUGAAAUAUAAACAAAAAAUGAGACAAUUGCUAAAUAAAUUUAUGAGGGAGAAAAAAAAUUCGAAAUUUGAUUUUUAAUUUUUAUUUUAAAAAGAUAAUUGGGCCCUAAUCUUUUUUGGUUCAAAAACGACAUCUCGAAGAAUUUGAAGUGAUACUUUGUUUUCAUUAUUAAAAAUCCUGAGAAUAUAUGUUUCCUUCUAGAAAAUAUCAAUAAUUUGAAUGGUAUGAACUAAUAUCUCCCUUUUUAGAAGAAUUUUUGGAAAAUCUCUCCUAUAAUAAUUUCUUAAUAGAUUUGGAUUAUUUGUCAUACAUAACUAUCCCUACAAAUAUACAUGAUAAACAACACAAAUAUUCAACUCACCAUCAAAAUAAACAAUAAAUACAUAAUAACUUUGCUAAGAAUCUUAUUAUAGAGAAGGAAGGAAACAUGAAGUCUCUAGCCUAGUUGGUGUAAGUGAUCAUGGUAGUCAUGGCCAUCAUGACAUUCACUCGAGCUUUUGAACCCCUAUUGUCCUCAUAUCAUCAAGUGUUGGACUAAAUGGUGGGGGGAAAACACUAAAACCUUAGAAAAUCUUUUCAAUGCCACUAUCUUAUUGUAUAUCAAAUCUUUCAUUUUAAAUAAUAAUAACGCAAAUGUUACAAGUGUGAUUAUAAUCACAACCACACUAUUCAGAGUCCAUAACUUUAUAAAAAUAUAAAUCAUAAAAGUUCUCUAUGAACAUGAUGUGCGAAAAUAAUAGUGUCCAUGUGGUUAUAAGAAUUUAAUCUUAUUUAUGAUCAUUAAAUCCAACUUGCUUACUUAUUGACACUAUAUCACAUUAUCAGAAUUACAUUAAUCAUCAAUAAUAACUUUAACAAUCAAAGUAAACCGAGAAUUUUAAUGGAAGUCCAAUAUAUUAAGAUAAACAAGAUAACAUGAGCCUUUCUAAUUGGAACAAAAAAACAAUUCAAUGGUUUGUCACCUAGAUUGAAUAGGUGUUGGCCGGCCAUCAUGAAAAAUAUACUUACUAAGAUACUAUGAUAGAUAAAAAAAUACAUACAACCUAUUCAUUUUAUAUAUUAUAUUAUAUUAUAUGAUAUUUACAAAAUUGGGAUCUUAUGGAGGAAUUUAUUAUAUAUCUUAUAUUAUACGAUUUAUAUUAUACGAUGAUUAGAUAAUUGAGAUGUUGGGAUUGCCCAAUCAAGACCGAAGACUCUUAUAUUACUCUUUUAUCGUUAUAUUACUCUUUUAUUUUUUUUAUAAAACAAAAUUGAAAAUUUAUUUUCAUAUAAAGUAUUUUCAUCUAUUUGUAUAGUGAAGAGUCUUUAUUUUCAUGGAAUUAAACGUGCAAUCAUAACAAACAAAUCUAAAAUGUGCUAUUAAAAAAAAUAAAGAAUUCAAAGCAUAUCUACUAUGGAAUAAAGAUCACUGGCUAGCUCCACCACUCACUUCCCUUAUUUAUAUCUAUAUUGAAGAUCAAGCCUAUCUCGUUAUAUAUUCUUCCCUACUCUUCAACCAUAGAGGUAUUUUAGCUAAUAACUCAAUCAUUUUGUAUGUCUUGGUCUUACCAUAAUUUUUUAUUCAAUAUUUCAAGUUUUAAAUAUUUUGAUUAGCUCUUAUGUCUUGUCGAACUACACAUUUAACUCCGUUGAUAAAUCACAUAUCUAUUCUAUAUUAAAAUGACUCAACAAAUUUCGGUCGGAGCUAUUUCACAUAUGUUACUUUUGCUUUUUAUAAUUAUAAUAAUAUAUAUUUUUAGUUCACAUUAAGAUGGAGGAAAAGAAAUGUAAAACUGUAUAUGACAUAUGAAGUGUGUCUAGUGAAUAUAUCUGGGAGAUAUUAGAUUUACAACCACUUUUGUUAGAUGUGCCAUUCAUAUUCUUAUUAUUAAAUUUAAUUUAGUUUAUACUUUUAAUAAGUGAAUUGAUUGAUGUUGAAAUUUUUGGGAAGAAACUUUUCAUUUCUCAUAAUUAAUAAAUGAUAUCUCAACUCGUUUCUAAAUGGAUGUGUUUAAACUUGUUAAAAUUGUAGAAUUUGAUACCCCAUUGAUCACAUCUUUGAAAAAAUUGAUAUGCACUCUAUGAAUUUUAAUGGUUUAUCAUUUGAAACUAUACAGAUUGACCUUGUUUAUGAUAAGUGGUUCUGCCAAGACUUGCAAAUACAAAGUAUCCAUUCUUGAAGAUUUUUUUUAGGCCAAAGGUAUCUAUACAAAUACUAUUCAUCCAUUGCAUAAGACUUGAGCAGUUUUAUCUCACCGACUUUAAAGAUUUUGAUGUGGAGAUGCUUGUGCUUACUUUAUGAAUUAAGGACUUCGAGUCUCAAGGUUUAAAAUCAAAUUACUAUGAAUUUGCAUAUUUUGAUGAGUUGGUAGGGUUCAGGAAGGUAGAUUCUCAAGAUUGCCUAUAUAAUUUGUGCUUAAUAAUAUUUUUUGAGAGUUAAAACAAAUUACUUUGGUUGUACUGCAAAUACAUUAUGAGUAAGCAAUUAGUACUUUGUUAUUUAGAAAUAAUUAAUUCAUUUGCAUAGUCUUGCAAUCAACGAUUUGACUAUUAUUGCUAAUAUGCUUAUAGCUAAUUAAUAAAUUUAUGACUCCCCUUUUUGAGUUCAAAUUGUCAUCCCCACAUAAAGUCAAACAAUUUAAUAAAGAUUUAUUUUAAAUAAUCUAUUAACAAUGCAAAAAAGAACUUUUAUGGACUAAGAUCUUUAUGUUCUUUUUUUGAAACAUAUCUACUCACUACCCAAUGGACAGAGAAAUAUUCGGCCAUGUACAAAUCAUAGCAUAUAUAAGACUCCCUACAAUUUAUGAAUAUGAAACAUCAUUGGCCUAGUUCAAUAUAUUCAAGUUAUGACAACCACAAANNNNNNNNNNNNNNNNNNNNNNNNNNNNNNNNNNNNNNNNNNNNNNNNNNNNNNNNNNNNNNNNNNNNNNNNNNNNNNNNNNNNNNNNNNNNNNNNNNNNNNNNNNNNNNNNNNNNNNNNNNNNNNNNNNNNNNNNNNNNNNNNNNNNNNNNNNNNNNNNNNNNNNNNNNNNNNNNNNNNNNNNNNNNNNNNNNNNNNNNNNNNNNNNNNNNNNNNNNNNNNNNNNNNNNNNNNNNNNNNNNNNNNNNNNNNNNNNNNNNNNNNNNNNNNNNNNNNNNNNNNNNNNNNNNNNNNNNNNNNNNNNNNNNNNNNNNNNNNNNNNNNNNNNNNNNNNNNNNNNNNNNNNNNNNNNNNNNNNNNNNNNNNNNNNNNNNNNNNNNNNNNNNNNNNNNNNNNNNNNNNNNNNNNNNNNNNNNNNNNNNNNNNNNNNNNNNNNNNNNNNNNNNNNNNNNNNNNNNNNNNNNNNNNNNNNNNNNNNNNNNNNNNNNNNNNNNNNNNNNNNNNNNNNNNNNNNNNNNNNNNNNNNNNNNNNNNNNNNNNNNNNNNNNNNNNNNNNNNNNNNNNNNNNNNNNNNNNNNNNNNNNNNNNNNNNNNNNNNNNNNNNNNNNNNNNNNNNNNNNNNNNNNNNNNNNNNNNNNNNNNNNNNNNNNNNNNNNNNNNNNNNNNNNNNNNNNNNNNNNNNNNNNNNNNNNNNNNNNNNNNNNNNNNNNNNNNNNNNNNNNNNNNNNNNNNNNNNNNNNNNNNNNNNNNNNNNNNNNNNNNNNNNNNNNNNNNNNNNNNNNNNNNNNNNNNNNNNNNNNNNNNNNNNNNNNNNNNNNNNNNNNNNNNNNNNNNNNNNNNNNNNNNNNNNNNNNNNNNNNNNNNNNNNNNNNNNNNNNNNNNNNNNNNNNNNNNNNNNNNNNNNNNNNNNNNNNNNNNNNNNNNNNNNNNNNNNNNNNNNNNNNNNNNNNNNNNNNNNNNNNNNNNNNNNNNNNNNNNNNNNNNNNNNNNNNNNNNNNNNGAAAACAUCUAUAUGAACGACCACAUCUCAUAAUACAUGACUAUGUUUUUAGGACCCUGCAUUCCUCAAAAACACUUGUAUAGAAACCAAACAUACAAAAUGUAACAUUAAAAAACUAUGGCUUGCAAGUAUUUCAUACAAGUAUUUAUUUUACUAAACUAUUGGGUUAAGUCCUUCCAAUAAUAGGUUUUAUUUUACAAGUUGUUGUGGCAUGUUUUUUAUAACAAGUGUUGUGGAAAUGUUAUGGAACUCUCAUUUCAACAACAAUUGAAUAACUAUUGUCUAACACUCAAUCACAUAUCGCCUCGAUAUUUAAUAAAAUAUUUUCAUAACAGACAAGGGGGAUAUCAACCAAUUCUUCUUGCAGUGAGCUAAGACAACACUCUCGAAUGGGAGGGCAACAACUUGGCGUUAUAGCUCCCAUGAAAAUCAUAAAAGCCAAAAGGAUUACCGUCAUGGGCGUAAAUACAUACAUUACUGUACUAUCCAUUGCAGAGCUAUUUCAUUAGAAAUCACAAGUUCAAGAGAACUAUUUCAUAUCACUCUAGUUAUGAGUAAAGAUUUUUUGAUGGUAACUUUAAUAUCCAACUGCUUUAUUUUCACCGUAUAUUAGUUGUCUCCAAGUUGAUGGAUGGCAUCAUUCACAAGCUAAAAAAGAUUUGUCCAUGAUAUUUAAUAUCCUCAAAAAAUCCGAAGGAUGAAUUUUUUUUUGUUACAGAACAACUCAAAUUUUGUGGUUGUCAUAACUUGAAUAUAUUGAACUGUUAGUACAAGAAGAUAUGCUCACAAACUAAUAAAGAAAACGAGGUGAAUGAUGUUUCAUAUCCAUGAGUUGUAGAGAGUCUUAUACAUCCUUUGAUUUGUACAUGGCCAAAUAUUUCUAUGGCUAUUGAGAUAGUGAGUAGAUAUGUGUCAAAAAACAACAUAGAAGAUCUUAGUUCAUAAAAGUUCUUUUUUGUGAUGUUAAUAGAUUAAUUUAAAAGAAAUCUAUAUUAAAUUGUUUGACUUUACAUGUGAGGAUGACAAUUUGAAUCCAAAUAAGGGCAUCAUAAAUUUAUUAAUUUGUUAUAAGCAUAUUAGAAACAAUACUCAAAUCGUUGAUUGCAAGACUAUGUUUAAUUAUUUCUAAAUAACAAAGCAUUAAUUGCUUACUCAUAAUGUAUUUGCAGUGCAAGCAAAGUAAUUUGUUAGAAGUAAUCACUUUCAAUGGUGAGAAUCAAGCUUUCUUAAACCUUCCAACUCAUCAAAAUAGGCAAAGUCAUAGUAAUUUGAUUUUAAAGCUUGAGAAUUGAACUUCCUUAAUUUAUUAAAGUAAGCACAAGCAUCUCCACAUCAAAAUCUCUAAAGUCAGUGAGAUAAAACUGAAGUCCUUUGCAUUCCAUGAAUGGUAUAUAUAUAUGAAUUAUAUUUUUAUAAAGGUAUGGACUCUAAAUAGCGUGGUUGAUAUUUUUGGUUUUAUUUUCUCACUUGAUUUCAAAGAUUGGGGGGCUAUGUGACUCAACCACCUCCUUCUCACACAAAAUACAAAAACUAAAAAGAACAAACUGCAUUCAAUAUGAAAAUUGGAUAAGUUUGUGAUUAAAAUCACACCUGUAACAGUUGCGUUAUUAUUCUUUAAAAUGAAAGAUUUGGAAUACAAUAAGAUAGUGGCAUCGAAAAUAUUUUCUACGGUUUUAGUAUUUUUCGCCCACCAUCAAUGCCACAACACUCGAUGACAUCAGGACAACAGCUGGGAGGGGGUACAAAAGCUGUGGUGAAUGUCAUGAUGGCCAUGACUACCAUGAUCACUAACACCAACUGCGCUACAGAUUUCAUUUUUCCUUCCUUCUCUAUAAUAAGAUCCUUUAUAACAAAGUAAUGAUGUAUUUCUUUUUUCUUUU
rnacentral:lncRNA from 1 species